CGGGUGAGUAACGCGUGAGGAACCUGCCUCAAAGAGGGGACGAACAGUUGGAAACGGCUGCUAAUACCGCAUAAGCCCACGGCUCGGCAUCGAGCAGAGGGAAAAGGAGCAAUCCGCUUUGAGAUGGCCUCGCGUCCGAUUAGCUAGUUGGUGAGGUAGUGGCCCACCAAGGCAACGAUCGGUAGCCGGACUGAGAGGUUGAACGGCCACAUUGGGACUGAGACACGGCCCAG
rnacentral:rRNA from 1 species